AAUGAACGCUGGCGGCAUGCCUAACACAUGCAAGUCGAACGAAGGCUUCGGCCUUAGUGGCGCACGGGUGCGUAACGCGUGGGAAUCUGCCCUUGGGUUCGGAAUAACUCAGAGAAAUUUGAGCUAAUACCGGAUGAUGUCGAGAGACCAAAGAUUUAUCGCCCAAGGAUGAGCCCGCGUAGGAUUAGCUAGUUGGUGAGGUAAAGGCUAACCAAGGCGACGAUCCUUAGCUGGUCUGAGAGGAUGAUCAACCACACUGGGACUGAGACACGGCCCAGACUCCUACGGGAGGCAGCAGUGGGGAAUAUUGGACAAUGGGCGAAAGCCUGAUCCAGCAAUGCCGCGUGAGUGAUGAAGGCCUUAGGGUUGUAAAGCUCUUUUACCCGGGAUGAUAAUGACAGUACCGGGAGAAUAAGCUCCGGCUAACUUCGUGCCAGCCGCCGCUGUAAAAC
rnacentral:rRNA from 1 species